rnacentral:rRNA from 1 species
GACGAACGCUGGCGGCGUGCUUAACACAUGCAAGUCGAACGGAAAGGCCUGCUUUCCCUUGUGGAUUGCGGGUACUCGAGUGGCGAACGGGUGAGUAACACGUGAGUGAUCUGCCCCCAACUUGGGUAUAAGCCUGGGAAACUGGGUCUAAUUCCCGAUAGGACUGCAGGGUGGUGCCUGUGGUGGAAAACGAUUUUCUAGUGGUUGGGGAUGAGCCCGCGGCCUAUCAGCUUGGUGGUGGGGUAAUGGCCUACCAAGGCGGCGACGGGUAGCCGGCCUGAGAGGGUGGACGGCCACAUUGGGACUGAGAUACGGCCCAGACGCCUACGAGAGGCAGGAGUGGGGAAUAUUGCAGAAUGGGCGGAAGCCUGAUGCAGCGACGCCGCGUGGGGGAUGACGGCCUUCGGGUAGUAAACUCCUUUCGACCGCGAGGAAGCCACGUGGUUGGAAGGGUGGUGACGGUAGUUGUAGAAGAAGCACCGGCUAACUACGUG